CAACGUCAUGGUGACAUGUUCCCGUCAGACCAAGGAAAGGAAAACCACUCAAACGAAACCAAUCAAUAGGAAUUCUACUUUAAAUACAUUGUAAUCGGGAUCGGGUAAUCGCUGCCUGCAAACAGCUGUACAAAUUGGUUAACCGUUGGCACUAUUUUUGAAAAUAUAUCUGGAAACUCAUUUGAAAUCAAUAAACUUUAUAUCAGUUGGCAUUCUGAUUGUGAAAUGGAAGCUAUGGAGGAUUCCGGCUCAGAAGAAAGCACUAUAACAAUCUUUGAUGUGCUCAGAGUUGACAUUUGCUGCCGAGCAAUCCUGGAGAAGGUACCCUUUCCGGAUCUGGUCCGCUCGGAGAGAGUAAGCAGAGAAUGGCAGGGUAUUGUGCAUGAAUAUCUCCGUAACAACAAACGCAAUAUGAGAUUCUUUGAUCUCUAUCGAGAUAUUCAUCGUUACAACCAAAGAGACAAAAUCUUCAAGAACAAUCCGUUAAUCAUGGAUCAUACCAUGGUUUUCCGUACACACAAUUCUUCAGAGAUAGUCAAGAAACCGAUACAUUUAAUUAUUCAAGAGGUUACGGAUCGCUGGUUGACAUAAACUUUUGAAUGUGAACGUAUCAUCAUGUCACUAGUAGCAAAACUUGAUAGAUAUGGAAUAUUUCAAUUUUAGCCCUGAUUUUAGAUUUUCUGAGCUUGUCAUUCUACUAACAGAUUCUUAAAAGCAUGUAAUUGACACAUCAAAAAUAAACAAAUAUCAUUUAAUACACAUAUACUUAUAUGUAGCAUUAUAAAAACUAAUAAUUUAUUUUAAUUUUCACUAUUAAUUAGUAAUACAAUAGUCUUUUAGUGAUUUUUAACCUUUUAGUGACAAGGGACCACAUGAAAAAAAAAAGCUUUUCAACACUAGAUCUCUUCUAUUUUUCGUAGGUUUAGGACACAAUUUUAAAAUUAAGUAGUAUUUGGUUGAAUAUGAUUUUUUUCUAAAUAGAUUGGAUUUGUAUAUGAUGAAAUCAAAUAACUUGGUAAUGUAAUGGAAAGCAUAAUCUUUGAAAACGGUUUAUGGUAGGUAUUAUUUAUUUAUUUAUUUUUAUUUGAUUUUUUACUUACCUACUUAAAUUAUACACAUUUUAGUAAUAGUUUGUAAUCUCUUUUAUUCAUAAGUUUUUGUUGACGGUAUUUUAUUAAAAGCAUCACUAAUCAUUGGUAAAGUACCUAUGGACGCAAAGCACGAAGAAUGUUGUACAUUGACCCUCGAAUUCCUAUCUCUAUCGCACGCGCCUUGCUGUCCCGCUCGCACAAUGGCAUUGACCGCCGGCAUCAUCAUUAUGCGCGUGCGAUGGAAAUAGGAAUGGCUGGUCAAUAUAAGAAAAGCUUCCUCACUUUAGACCUUAUUUCGUUGUAGUGAGGUUUAUAAUUGAUCAGUGUAGUGUAUCGAUGAUACUUAAGGGCCUACCGCGAACCACGUUCGACGUGUUGCCUCCCUGUCACACUUACAUACGAAUUUACAAGUGCGACAAAGAGGCAACACGUUGAAGGUGGUUCGCGGUAGGCCCUCUCGAGAACAAAUUGGGAUGGUGGUGGUUUAAAUUUUGUGCAAUAAAAGUACCGUCAGCAAAGAAGGUUGUGUUUUUACUUUUUUUGCUUAUUUUACUCUUACAUCUACUGUGUGUAGUUUGCCCAUAAUAAAAUUAAUG